UACGAAGGGGGCUAGCGUUGCUCGGAAUCACUGGGCGUAAAGCGCACGUAGGUGGGUCGUUAAGUCGGGGGUGAAAUCCUGGAGCUCAACUCCAGAACUGCCUUCGAUACUGGCGAUCUUCGAGUCCGGGAGAGGUGAGUGGAACUGCGAGUGUAGAGGUGAAAUUCGUAGAUAUUAGGAAGAAUACCAGUGGCGAAGGCGGCUAUCUGGACAGAAACUGACGCUGAGGCGCGAAAGCUAGGGGAGCAAACAGG
rnacentral:rRNA from 1 species